UACGUAGGGGGCAAGCGUUGUCCGGAAUCAUUGGGCGUAAAGAGCGCGUAGGCGGCCCGAUAAGUCCGCUGUGAAAGUCAAGGGCUCAACCCUUGAAUGCCGGUGGAUACUGUCGGGCUAGAGUCCGGAAGAGGCGAGUGGAAUUCCUGGUGUAGCGGUGAAAUGCGCAGAUAUCAGGAGGAACACCGGUGGCGAAGGCGGCGCUCUGGGCCGGAACUGACGCUGAGGAGCGAAAGCGUGGGUAGCAAACAGG
rnacentral:rRNA from 1 species